rnacentral:lncRNA from 1 species
UUAAAUUAUGUAAAUGAAUGUCUAGAUGCGAUAUUGUGGCAAUUAUGACCAUUUGAUGUAGAUUUCAUUCGUGAUUUAAAAAUUAGAGUGGUGGGUUUGUUGGGUAUAUGCAGCCAUUAAAGGCCUUAUGAGUGCUUGUCAUUGAAUUUUUUGAAAUAAUAGAACAUGAAAUCAGUGGGAGUGUGGAUGUAAGGACCACAAAUUUUCCGGUUAUGAGACACGCAUGGCGAUAAAGUAAGAAAAGGGGCAGCGCCGUGUAUGUAGUAGAGGAGGCACGCGCUUGGCGUAAAGGAAGGAGACUCAUCGUCGUGUGUGAAUGGAGGUAUCGUCGUGCAUGUAAGAGGCUUUCGUCGCACGUGAAAUGAGUAUCAUCGAGCGUGAAUGGAGGCUAUAGCUGCGCGUGAAGUGAGCAUAGCCGCACGUGAAUGGAGGUUAUCGCCGUGUGUGAAGUGAGCAUCGCCGCGCAUGAAUGGAGGUAUCGCCAUACGUGUGAGAGGCUAUCGCCGCGUAUGUAAGAGGCUAUCGCCGCCCGUGAACUUGAGUAGCGCCAUUUGCGCAUCGCUGCGCGUGCAAGAAGUAACGCCGUGAGUGUCAAUGCCGCAAGUGUAGCGCCGUGAGUGAAAAUAUGAGAUUUGACUGCACCGUACAUGUCAGCACCACCCACGGUCAGCCACAGUGACCUCUACCUACCCAGUAAGCAGUAGUGGAUCCCACCUACUGUGGGUGCUUAAGUCCUCUCCCCUUCCCUUUCAACGGCAUUUUUCCCUCAGUUGCCUCACUUGCCUCAUACUCUCCCUCUCUAAGAAGCAAAGUGAGAGGGUAAACUGCUGCCCUUGGAGAAGCCUUCGCUUGGAGGUUGAGAAGGCCCACAAGUGGGAGGUUUGAAGACACUGUGAGCAUUAUGUAAGUAGACUGGGUGUUCAUGCAUCACUUACAACUGAUAGCCAUAGAUUUUAAGGAAUGAUGAUGAGUAGAAUGAUAGGAUGGAGAAUAUGGAUGUAAUUGAAUUAAAAUGAGAUUGAAUAAUUGGUUGAGUACUAUAAAUGAAAUUGUUAAUUGUAGAAGCUAAUGACGUAGCUCGCUUAUAAAAUUUACUUAACAUGAAUGAGGUUUUGCACUGAAAUUUACUUGGAUUUGUGAAAUGAGGAGUUUUAUUUGAAAGCAUGUUGAAACUUGAAAAAAGGGAAAUUUUCAAGAACUGUGAGGGCUCUUGUAUUAAACUUUUCAGUAAUCAAACGUGGUCCAAAUGAGCUCAAAUUAGUAUUGAAUGAAAGAUAUGCAUGUCUACACUAAGUUUUCUUUUUAUACCAUGUUAAAAUUUAGUAUGGAUGAAGAGAUAUACCCCAAAAUGUUAGGGUAUGUCGCUGUCCACAGUUGCUAUAAUUUUCAGCAACUGUCAUGUACUUUGCGCCGAGCUUUUGACUGACCAAACAAUGCCCGAACACCUUUAAAUCACCACCACUUGAAAUAUCCAUGAAUGAAUUUAAAGUUACAUGUUUGAAACAUUUUAAAAUUUUUCAUAUAUUGAGAGAUAUGCCCCGAAAUAUGAGGGUAUGUUACGGUUCGCAGUUGCAAGAAAUUCCUGCAACUGUCAAUCACUUUGUGAAUAGCUUUUGACAUAUUAAACGUCGUCCAAAUAUCUUCAAAACAACUCCAUUUUAAAUAUCCGUGUGUAAGUUUGAAGUUUUAUGUUUGAACUAUUUUGAAAUUCUCCUUAGAUUGGGAGUUACGUCUCCAAGAAGAGGGGUACCUCACUGUUAUAUGUCACUAAAAUUUUAGUCCUUUUUCGUAUCGUAUUACCUUUUACUGGAUCACUCACUAAGCAACUCAAGUGGUGCAGUGUGAUCUUUGAUAAGUGAUAGUUUUCACGUGAUGAAUACUAAAUGCCAUAGUGUUAUGAGAGUGAUGCUAUGCAGUUAUACAUUCUGUGAAAUUUGAUAAGUGCAAUACUAAUGUGAUAGUUUCAUGAAGAAUGUUACAUGAUAAGUGCCGUAAUGUUAAUGAUGAUUACUAAGCAUAAAUACCAUGUGAUAGCUCUCAUAUGAUGAAUGUGUUAUGCCAAGUAUCAUAGUGUUAGGUGACUACUAGAUAGCUUGAGUAAAACUCAAACCCUACAUAAUGAAAAUUGAAUUAUCUGUCAUAAGGCACUAAUUUAGCAUGAAUGAAUGUAAUGCUUGAGCAUGUUACAAUGAUGCGAUAAUGACCACUAUACAAUGGGACACCCAUUGGUAGUGGAUAUUGUUCUAUUAUGAUGCUGUAAUACUGGCCACUACAUGAUGGGGCACCCAUCAGUAGCGGAUAUUGUUCCACUGAUACUAUCUGCUAUGCGAUGGGAAACCCAUCGGUAGUGGCGAUUGCUAUACUGAAAAAAGUGAUGCCGAUCAUGUCCCCUAACUUGCUGAAUGAUAGGAGUUAGGAGAAAGUGAAAUGGGAGAGUCGCACCCCCAAAAAAUUCAUGAUGAGAUAAGUGACUAAUGCCUUGCAAGGUAAGUAUCUAUCAAAAAAUCCAAUGCAC